UACGUAGGGCGCGAGCGUUAAUCGGAAUUACUGGGCGUAAAGCGUGCGCAGGCGGUUCGUUGUGUCGGCGGUGAAAGCCCCGGGCUUAACCUGGGAAUGGCCGUCGAAACUGGCGAACUGGAGUGUGGCAGAGGGGGGUGGAAUUCCGCGUGUAGCAGUGAAAUGCGUAGAGAUGCGGAGGAACACCGAUGGCGAAGGCAGCCCCCUGGGCUGACACUGACGCUCAGGCACGAAAGCGUGGGGAGCAAACAGG
rnacentral:rRNA from 1 species